AAACCUUAACAAAGACUUAAAUUGCAAAUUUAAGAAAGAUAAAUUAAUUAUCUAAGAUUUA
rnacentral:tRNA from 1 species